rnacentral:rRNA from 1 species
AAUUAACGCUGGCAGAGUGCAUAACACAUGCAAGUCGAGCGAAACUAGUCGCAAGAUUAGUUUAGCGGCAGACGAGUGAGUAACACGUAAAGAAUCUACCCUUGAAUGGCGAAUAACCAAUCGAAAGGCUGGCUAAUACGCCGUACUCUCCCUUGAAGGCAUCUUCGAGGGAGGAGAGAUCCGCAAGGAUCGUUCUUGGAGGACUUUGCGGCCCAUCAGCUAGUUGGCGGUGUAAUAGACCACCAAGGCUACGA